AGAGUUUGAUUAUGGCUCAGGAUGAACGCUGGCGGCGUGCUUAACACAUGCAAGUCGAACGGAGAAAUAUAUUAGAAGUUUCGGAUGGAAGAUAUAAUCUUAGUGGCGGACGGGUGAGUAACGCGUAAACAAUCUGCCUUAGAGAGGGGGAUAACAGAUAGAAAUAUUUGCUAAUACCGCAUAAGACCACGAUUAGGCAUCUAAUUGGGGUAAAAGGAGCAAUCCGCUUUAAGAUGAGUUUUGCGUACUAUUAGCUAGUUGGUGAGGUAACGGCCCACCAAGGCGACGAUGGUUAGCCGGCCUGAGAGGGGUGAACGGCCACAUUGGAACUGAGAUACGGUCCAGACUCCUACGGGAGGCAGCAGUGAGGAAUAUUGGGCAAUUACGGGGGGAAACCCUGACCCAGCAACGCCGCGUGAAGGAAGAAGGUUUUAGGAUUGUAAACUUCUGUUGUUAGGGAAAAGAAAGUGAUGGUACCUAACGAGGAAGCUACGGCAAACUAUGUGCCAGCCGCCGC
rnacentral:rRNA from 1 species